GAUGAAGAACGUAGCGAAAUGCGAUAAGUAAUGUGAAUUGCAGAAUUCAGUGAAUCAUCGAAUCUUUGAACGCACAUUGCGCCCGCCAGUAUUCUGGCGGGCAUGCCUGUUCGAGCGUCAUUUCAACCCUCAGGCCCCCAGUGCCUGGUGUUGGGGAUCGGCCCAGCCUUCCUGUAAGGCCGCCGGCCCCGAAAUCUAGUGGCGGUCUCGCUGUAGUCCUCCUCUGCGUAGUAGCGCAACCUCGCAGUUGGAACGCGGCGGUGGCCAUGCCGUUAAACACCCCACUUCUGAAAGUUGACCUCGGAUCAGGUAGGAAUACCCGCUGAACUUAAGCAUAUAAUAAGCGGAGGA
rnacentral:misc_RNA from 1 species